rnacentral:rRNA from 1 species
CAGCAGCCGCGGGAAUACGUAGGGUGCGAGCGUUAAUCGGAAUUACUGGGCGUAAAGCGUGCGCAGGCGGUUCGUUAAGACAGAUGUGAAAUCCCCGGGCUUAACCUGGGAACUGCAUUUGUGACUGGCGGGCUAGAGUAUGGCAGAGGGGGGUAGAAUUCCACGUGUAGCAGUGAAAUGCGUAGAGAUGUGGAGGAAUACCGAUGGCGAAGGCAGCCCCCUGGGCCAAUACUGACGCUCAUGCACGAAAGCGUGGGGAGCAAACAGGAUUAGAUACCCCUGUAGUCCCUGUCUCUUAUAC